UAACGAUGUGAAUCUUAAUUGUUUAAGUAUAUUUUUCAGUGGCUGUUGGAUGUAGCUUAAGAUGAUUAGAAUUUUUUAUUAUUUCUAAAAGUGAGUUAAGAAAUCACUCAGACACAAUAUUGAAGGUAUUUAUAUUUUAACUCUACCUUUGUAUAAGUGGUUUUAUGUACCUUUAACCAUUACAAACCAAAUAACAUUUUCUUUGUAUUUGAAAAACUGAUAAAAU